AUACGUAGGGGGCGAGCGUUGUCCGGAAUCACUGGGCGUAAAGGGCGCGUAGGCGGCUGGUUAAGUCUGGUGUCAAAGACCACGGCUCAACCGUGGGGGGGCACUGGAAACUGGCUGGCUUGAGUGCAGGAGAGGGAAGCGGAAUUCCCGGUGUAGCGGUGAAAUGCGUAGAGAUCGGGAGGAACACCAGUGGCGAAGGCGGCUUCCUGGCCUGUAACUGACGCUGAGGCGCGAAAGCGUGGGGAGCGAACAGGAUUAGAUACCCUGGUAGUCCACGCCGUAAACGAUGAGUGCUAGGUGUUGGGGGCGCAGGCCCUCAGUGCUGAAGGAAACCCAAUAAGCACUCCGCCUGGGGAGUACGGCCGCAAGGCUGAA
rnacentral:rRNA from 1 species